rnacentral:rRNA from 1 species
GACGAACGCUGGCGGCGUGCUUAACACAUGCAAGUCGAACGGAAAGGCCCUGCUUUUGUGGGGUGCUCGAGUGGCGAACGGGUGAGUAACACGUGAGUAACCUGCCCUUUACUUUGUGAUAACUUCAGGAAACUGGGGCUAAUACCGGAUAGGAGCUCCUGCUGCAUGGUGGGGGUUGGAAAGUUUCGGCGGUUGGGGAUGGACUCGCGGCUUAUCAGCUUGUUGGUGGGGUAGUGGCUUACCAAGGCUUUGACGGGUAGCCGGCCUGAGAGGGUGACCGGCCACCUUGGGACUGAGAGACGGCCCAGACUCCUACGGGAGGCAGCAGUGGGGAGUAUUGCACAAUGGGCGGAAGCCUGAUGCAGCAAUGCCGCGUGCGGGAUGACGGCCUUCGGGUUGUAAACCGCAUUCGCCUGUGACGAAGCGUGAGUGACGGUAAUGGGUAAAGAAGCACCGGCUAACUACGUG